AUACGGAGGGUGCAAGCGUUGUUCGGAAUUACUGGGCGUAAAGCGCGCGUAGGUGGUCUGUUAUGUCAGAUGUGAAAGUCCACGGCUCAACCGUGGAAGUGCAUUUGAAACUGGCAGACUUGAGUACUGGAGGGGGUAGUGGAAUUCCCGGUGUAGAGGUGAAAUUCGUAGAUAUCGGGAGGAAUACCGGUGGCGAAGGCGACUACCUGGCCAGAUACUGACACUGAGGUGCGAAAGCGUGGGGAGCGAACAGGAUUAGAUACCCGUGUAGUCC
rnacentral:rRNA from 1 species